GAUGAACGCUGGCGGCGUGCCUAAUACAUGCAAGUAGAACGCUGAAGGAGGAGCUUGCUCUUCUGGAUGAGUUGCGAACGGGUGAGUAACGCGUAGGUAACCUGCCUGGUAGCGGGGGAUAACUAUUGGAAACGAUAGCUAAUACCGCAUGACAACAGUUAUUGCAUGAUAACUGUUUAAAAGGGGCAACUGCUCCACUACCAGAUGGACCUGCGUUGUAUUAGCUAGUUGGUGAGGUAACGGCUCACCAAGGCGAGGAUACAUAGCCGACCGGAGAGGGUGAGCGGCCACACUGGGACUGAGACACGGCCCAGACUCCUACGGGAGGCAGCAGUAGGGAAUCUUCGGCAAUGGACGGAAGUCUGACCGAGCAACGCCGCGUGAGUGAAGAAGGUUUUCGGAUCGUAAAGCUCUGUUGUAAGAGAAGAACGAGUGUGAGAGUGGAAAGUUCACACUGUGACGGUAUCUUACCAGAAAGGGACGGCUAACUACGUG
rnacentral:rRNA from 1 species